rnacentral:rRNA from 1 species
CUAAAACAUCUUAGUAGCUAGAGGAAAAGAAAGCAAAAGCGAUUCCCGUAGUAGCGACAAGCGAAAUGGGAGACCCGGACGCUUUUGGGAUGCUUCUAAUAACCAAGGAAUGGCAAGUGCUCUUCCUUGUUUAGAUCCUAUUUCAAUCAGAACUUUCCGCGUCGAUCCUUUUUUAUUACGUCUUGUUUUUACUUCUAUAUUGGUAGUUAAUCUACGCACAUUACUUAGCACAACUAGGAAAAUAAGAUAAGAUAAGAUAAAGAUAAGAAAGACUAAAAAAAUAUUCGUCGGAAUAGCGGAAUACAAAAUUAAAAAAUGCAAAAAAAUAAAGGGGAAUCUCACCCCCUUCUUUAUCAU